rnacentral:lncRNA from 1 species
AUGCAAGGAAAAAAGCACAAGACCAGUUUAUGCAGAGCGACAAAGAUUCGCAGUCUCACAAAGAGAUCAAAGAAAACUUACUACUCCUUUCAAGCUCAGGAAGCUACAUGUCUUGAGGAAAGAAUGGAUUUGAGAAUAGCAGAAGUGUUUCAAGAUGGAAACCUUGAUGAGGCUAAGCCUUCAGCCUUUAUCUGUGAACAAGACCAGCAUUCCAGCCUUUUCUCAGAAACCCAAACACCUACAAAUACUGGGAAAAAGAGAUCACCGAGUUGCUCAUCAGCUUGUGAGCAUGCACAAGAAAAUACACCAAACUGUCAGUAUAACACAGCACACUGUAUAGAAGGGCAAGCAUUUGAGGCGGCUGCCAUCACAGAUGGCCUUGGUCUGUCAGCUGUAGAAUCUAAAGAGUAUUGCAAACUUGUGCUCGCUGAAACGUUUAGCAUCUCCUACGGUAAAGAACAGAACCUUCAGGUAGAAUAUACUGAGGGAAAAAAAUACAUCAGUGAAGAGUUGAAGUGUAAGAAAGAAGACUCAAUACUGAAAAGAAAGGAAGAUAGUGAAGGUGCAGAUUUGGAGAAAGAAAGAAAGAAACAAAAGCGAAUUAAACUUGAUGUAGACUUAGUAAAUGAGAAGAAAUCAAGACCUAAUAAAGAUGAAAGGCUUAAAAAAAAAACUGCUAAGAAACAGAGGAAAAAGCGCGUAAAGAAUCAACAGAUGUCCCAGAUAGAGAUCAAAACAGAGGCAUUUUGGGAGGACUCUGACUUUAUGUUCUGGUGAGGGUUUUGAUUAGCUUCAUGAGCCUGCUCAAUUUGCAGAUUACCUUUACUAUUUUGUAUCAUACCAUGGCUGUUGUGGUUUUUGUUGGUUUAUUUGUGGUUGUUGUUGUUUUUUAAGCAAAGUUGGGGUUUUCUUGGAAGUGAGAAAAAGUCUGUCUUCUGAAAAUGGUUGGUAAUAGGCAUGCAUCAGUUUUUAAUUAUGUUACCCGUACAACAGUCAUUGUAGUGAUGCAAAAUUGAAAGUAUGAAGGCUCUUCUUGAAAAUACCUCAAACCAAGGGUCAGCAGCUUAAGAUAUGUAAGGGCACUGCAUUGUUCCCAGCAAAGCCAUAUCUGUAACCUUUCCACUGAGUGCUUUUAAAGGAGAGUGAGGAAGGCUUUUGAUCCCAGAAUAAAGCUAGAUUUGUGACUCAGUGCUCUGAAGAACCAGCAACGCUUUGCAUUUGAAAUAGUGUCACCAGACCUUCCUUCAUAAUACAG